AUACGGAGGGUGCAAGCGUUAUUCGGAAUCACUGGGCGUAAAGGGUGCGUAGGCGGUUUGGUAAGUCUGAUGUGAAAUCCUAUGGCUCAACCAUAGAACUGCAUUGGAAACUGCUAAACUAGAAUACUGAAGGGGCAGAUGGAAUUAGUGGUGUAGGGGUAAAAUCCGUAGAUAUCACUAGGAAUACCGAAAGCGAAAGCGAUCUGCUGGGAAGUUAUUGACGCUGAGGCACGAAAGCGUGGGGAGCAAACGGGAUUAGAUACCCCAGUAGUCC
rnacentral:rRNA from 1 species